rnacentral:rRNA from 1 species
GCUUAAUGCCCAUGUAUUCAGAAUAUGGCAGAACUAAGCUAAGUUUCGUGGAUUUUGAAAAGGUAACUAGAACUGGACCUAGUUAGUACUUCGGUGGGAGACCACCUGAAAACCCAGGGUGUAAGCU